rnacentral:lncRNA from 10 species
GGUUCUGUGGAAAAUCUGAUGUGCCAAGAAGUGUUCCAUACCAUUCUGAGAACUCUGGAUACCUGCUCAGACAGCUCUGUUUCAGCUAAACAGUAACAUCUGGGAGGGAAGCUUAAUGUGGAAUCAAGGAUGAAGUUUAACACAGGAAUGAGAAGUAGAGCACAUAGCUGCUAAGAUAAGGCUGGAGUCUCAGCUCAUUGCAACCUUUGCCUGCCAGGUUCAAGUGAUUCUCCUGCCUCAGCUUCCCAAGUAACUGGGACUACAGAAUGUAAUCAUCGCAAGGCCAGGAGAUGCGUUUGGUCUGUGCUGCAUCUCAAGCAGGACAAUGGCUGGAACAUAGUAGGGUCUCCAAAAAUGUUUGUUGAACGUUGCUGAUGGCGGCAUCCUGGAGUAGGAAAAAGACUGAAGAGUGGAAAAAGAAAUCCUGACAUGAAUUCUGGGCAAAGGCAAGCAGUAGCUGACUUGGAAAAUGAUUACACUAUAGAUGGCAGCACACCACUACCUACGAUCCGAUCACCAGCCUGGGUUUGUAAGUCAGAGCUGUUGGUCAGGAGAUGGCAGCUAAUGAGUAAUCAGUCCAAACUGAAUGGCAAAUUAAUGUCUUCAUUAAGUGAACAAACCAGCUUCCUCCAUAAACAAGGUCAGAGUAUUUAUAACCCAGUGUAUUUCAUAAAAGCAAAAACGCAUCUCCAUUUACAUAACUUUACUAUGGAGCUCAUGAUUUAUCUGCACAAAGCAUAUGCAAAAUCUCACUUGUAUACCGUCUUUAAUAAGGACCCAUGCCAUUCUGAUGUAAUUAUUAAUAAAGUCACACUUGAUAA